AACGAACGCUGGCGGCAGGCUUAACACAUGCAAGUCGAGCGCCCCGCAAGGGGAGCGGCAGACGGGUGAGUAACGCGUGGGAACGUACCCUUUGCUACGGAAUAGCUCCGGGAAACUGGAAUUAAUACCGUAUGUGCCCUACGGGGGAAAGAUUUAUCGGCAAAGGAUCGGCCCGCGUUGGAUUAGCUAGUUGGUGGGGUAAUGGCCUACCAAGGCGACGAUCCAUAGCUGGUCUGAGAGGAUGAUCAGCCACAUUGGGACUGAGACACGGCCCAAACUCCUACGGGAGGCAGCAGUGGGGAAUAUUGGACAAUGGGCGCAAGCCUGAUCCAGCCAUGCCGCGUGAGUGAUGAAGGCCUUAGGGUUGUAAAGCUCUUUCACCGGAGAAGAUAAUGACGGUAUCCGGAGAAGAAGUCCCGGCUAACUUCGUGCCAGCAGCCGCAGUAACAC
rnacentral:rRNA from 1 species